AAUCAACGCUGGCGGCGUGCCUCAGACAUGCAAGUCGAACGCGAAAGUCCCCUUCGGGGGAUGAGUAGAGUGGCGCACGGGUGAGUAACACGUAGGUAAUCUACCCUCGGGUGGGGAAUAACAACCGGAAACGGUUGCUAAUACCGCAUAAUGCAGCGGCACCUAAUGGUGACAGUUGUUAAAGCGGGGGAUCGCAAGACCUCGCGCCUGAAGAGGAGCCUGCGGCGGAUUAGCUAGUUGGCAGGGUAACGGCCUACCAAGGCGACGAUCCGUAGCCGGCCUGAGAGGGCGGUCGGCCACACUGACACUGACAUACGGGUCAGACUCCUACGGGAGGCAGCAGUCGGGAAUUUUGGGCAAUGGGCGAAAGCCUGACCCAGCAACGCCGCGUGAAGGAUGAAAUCCCUCGGGAUGUAAACUUCGCAAGAACGGGGAGAAUAAGCCGGUGUCAACACCACCGGCGAUGACGGUACCGUUUGUAAGCUCCGGCUAACUCCGUGCCAGCAGCCGCGGUAAUAC
rnacentral:rRNA from 1 species